UACAGAGGUCUCAAGCGUUGUUCGGAUUCAUUGGGCGUAAAGGGUGCGUAGGCGGUGGGGCAAGUCAGGUGUGAAAUCCCGGAGCUCAACUCCGGAACUGCACUUGAUACUGCUUUACUAGAGUACUGGAGAGGAGACUGGAAUUUACGGUGUAGCAGUGAAAUGCGUAGAUAUCGUAAGGAAGACCAGUGGCGAAGGCGAGUCUCUGGACAGUUACUGACGCUGAGGUGCGAAAGCGUGGGGAGCAAACAGG
rnacentral:rRNA from 1 species